rnacentral:sRNA from 1 species
ACUCGGGAGUUUUUGACAACAACAUUUGCAGCGAUCAUCAGUAUUCUAGCUACAAUCCACAUAAAAAGUGUGGUUUGGACAGCAGCGACCUCCAGCAGGGAUAAUGACCUCUUUAGUGAUGAAGAUGUGAUGUCUUACACCUACUGGGACGACAACCAGCUUUGGACCUUGGCGCUUGCACAUACAGCAUGAAGCAUGUCCUCUAGAUGUGCUGGGAAAUGGGAGAGGAAUGCAUGGAGGACUCGGAAUGGAGGAGCUUCAGUGGAUUGUGCUAGAACCUGCUGUACCCUGCUUGGGAUACUGGUUUUCUUUUUGAUGUGAUUCUGGCACAUACAUCUGCAUUUGUUACAGAGAAAGUCACUGUGUGAUGGAGUCCUUCCUGUUAAUUUGGCAAUAAAAGCUCUAUUUCUAGACAAUAUUAUGUGCCUAUCCUUCUGUCUUACUCUUUUAGGACAGUUGAAACAGCCAUAGUGUUUUUGACCAGAACCUGGCAUUUCUGAAAUAUUUAUUUUAAUAAAAUACAAUGUUAAGGGAAAAUAUAAAAACACACAGUUAUGUAUUAUACCCUGUCAAAAGUCUCUGCUUCCACCAUUUUUUAAAAAAUAUUUUGAUUAUCAAUCAAUCAUAAUACCUUUUUUUUUUUACCAAAUUACCAAAAUGGAGUACCCAGAUGAUUAAGUCGAAAAUGUGUGGAAGGUGUCCCAACUACUUCGGAAUGAAGAAAGAUUUAAACAUUUUCCAUUAUUAAUUUGUUUUCUUUCAUGUUAAUUUUUCCAGGUAAAAAUAGUGAAGAAUCAAAUUGUGAAUGACAAAAUUAUAAUUUUCCCCUUGUUUCAAUUUGUCAGGUAUUUGUACCGGUAUUAUCUUUAAAAUUCAUAAAAAAUGGCUGGAAACUGUUAUAUACAUGAGACAGACUAUAAAAUGUAUACAAGAAUAUGCUGCAAAUCAUUUAUAAAUUUGCAAAUCUUAUGUAGCUUAACAAUAACACCAAAAAAAAAAAAAUGGGGGGGGGGGGGGUCAAAAUAUGCUGAUGUUUUGAUAUGCUGUUCAUUUUCUUUUUUUAAUAGAUAAACAUUCCCUGUUGUCAAGUUCAUUUCCACAAUAUUGAAUAAAGUGAGCAGCUAAACAAAGCAAAUCUUCCUGUAAAGACGAUGGCAGAGGUAACAGUCUCACUUUGUCGUGUAAAUUCUUCUGUAAAACUUUACGAAUAGUUAGCGCUGAAACUUUAAACAGCGAAUGAGGGUUAGAUGCUAGCGAACAUAGCUGCCCUAGAGCUAGGGUAUUUUCUUUGAGCGUCGCAGGAGUAUCAAUAGUGCCCAUAGGAUCAACUAGAUACGGGUACUUCGAUAGGUUAUAGCCAUAAUCAUAUAACAGUUCCACAACGUCAAAGAAACCCAAGUGGAUGGCCAGCUCACAGGGAUCAAAGUAGAACUCCUCUCUCCGCCUGAUGAUCCGGCCUGGAAGAUUGAUAGGACUGUUGUAUUCAAGCAAAAGUCUGAUCGUCUGGGUGUCGUGGUUACAAACGGCUGGCAAAAUGGGAGUUAUUCCACAGGCAACUAAAAUUGACCAAAAAUUGCAUAGAAAUUUAUGCUUUAAAUUUAUCGUUAAUCAGUUUCAUUUUAAUGGAAACAACAAGAAUUGUUCUCAUAAAUAUCCAUUAUUAUUGCCUCAUUACGAUAUUUUAUAUCUAAGUCUACGUGACAUAUUGGUUUACAUGUAAAGGGUUCAUAUUUAAUAUGUUUGACUUUUCAAAAAAAAAUAUAUUAA